UACCCCGGGGAUGGAAAAAUCCGGCUGAGACGGCCUGGGCCGCUGCCACGCGCGGGCGUUAUUCUCCACCCACCUGCGGCCUGAAGAUGCCUGAGGCCCGGACUCUCAGACCCCUAUUGCCCUUUGGUGCUGGAGGCCCAGCGGCAGCCUGAAGCCCAAGAGAGUGGAGCCUCGCGAAAUGAGGAACCUGGCACAAAACUCCUGACCUCAAGUGAUUUGCCUGCUUUGGCCUCCCAAAGUGCUGGGAUUACAGACAUGAGUCACCAUGCCCUGCCUGCAGCUUCUUCUUGAGGUGUUCUGGACUUGGAAGAUUUGUUGAAUUACUAUGAAGUCACAUCUAAAG
rnacentral:lncRNA from 10 species